rnacentral:lncRNA from 1 species
GCCCGGGAGAGGGGCCGGGCGGGACGGUACAGCAACCGGAGGAACCUUGAUUCCCUGCCCCGCAAGCCCAGCACCGGUUUUGCCGCCUUGUCUCGAAGGGUCAACCAGGCCAUCUCCUGCCUCGGGACGGAGAGCGCCCUGGAAAAGGCGGAGGGGCCGACCUUAGUCACACAAGAGCGAUGGCAAGAUUUUCACCCAAGCCAUCUGACUUGGAACCCAUGGAUUAACCAACUGCCACUGGAGGCAAAUCCAGAGACCAAGGGAGCAGUUUAUACAGAAACAGAUGCCGGCAUUAACCCACAGGGAGUUAUUGUUACAGACUGAAGAAUAGAAAAAGAAAAAGCCAAAUAGAGCCUUAUUCCACCCAGCUUAGCUUCCAUAGAACAUUGUGAAUGAGAGAGUAGAUUCUUGAGAAAAUCCUGGGGUUACCCAGUUUUCAUGACUCGUUUCGUUAGACCAUCAUUUCCCAAAGUGUGUUCUUUAUAAAAAGUAGUUCUUCAGAAGGCUGGAAAGUAUUGUUUGGAAGGGGGUUCCGUGAUGAAGUCAGUUUGGAAUGCAGGCUUUACCCAGUUUUGAGAAGAUUCUUUGCAGGACUUCUCAGGGCCUUUGUGAAUCUCCAAAGAAAGAAUGUAGUGUGAAGUAUGAAAACUUUCUCCUGGCUGAUGGAACACACUUUGCAAAGCACUUCCACAGACCAAUAUGAUUUCCAGUAAGAGCUAAAUAAAUUUUGUUAGUUGUUAAGGCAUAAAACAUUAAUAUAGGAUAUUACAGUCCUAGGCUUACAUUACUUAAUUUGGAUUUUUUGCAAAAAUUAACUUUAAUGUGAAAAAUUAGGAGACAAUAUAGAGAAAAUUCAAGAGCCUCUCCAGAUAAAUUCUUAGAACUAAUGAGAAAGUUCACUAAAGUUUCUGGAUAUAAAAUGCCCAGGGCACCGGAGGGGGAAAUACUUUCUUGUAUAUUAAUAGCAA